rnacentral:rRNA from 1 species
AACGAACGCUGGCGGCAGGCCUAACACAUGCAAGUCGAGCGCGCCUUCGGGUGAGCGGCGGACGGGUGAGUAACGCGUAGGAAUCUACCUAGUAGUGGGGGACAACUCGGGGAAACUCGAGCUAAUACCGCAUACGCCCUACGGGGGAAAGCGGGGGACCUUCGGGCCUCGUGCUAUUAGAUGAGCCUGCGUUGGAUUAGCUAGUUGGUGGGGUAAAGGCCUACCAAGGCGACGAUCCAUAGCUGGUCUGAGAGGAUGAUCAGCCACACCGGGACUGAGACACGGCCCGGACUCCUACGGGAGGCAGCAGUGGGGAAUAUUGCGCAAUGGGCGAAAGCCUGACGCAGCCAUGCCGCGUGUGUGAAGAAGGCCUUCGGGUUGUAAAGCACUUUCAAUUGGGAGGAAAGGUUCACGGUUAAUAACCGUGAGCUGUGACGUUACCUUUAGAAGAAGCACCGGCUAACUCCG